rnacentral:rRNA from 1 species
GAUGAACGCUGGCGGCGUGCCUAAUACAUGCAAGUCGAGCGAACAGAUGAGGAGCUUGCUCCUCUGACGUUAGCGGCGGACGGGUGAGUAACACGUGGAUAACCUACCUAUAAGACUGGGAUAACUUCGGGAAACCGGAGCUAAUACCGGAUAAUAUAUUGAACCGCAUGGUUCAAUAGUGAAAGACGGUUUUGCUGUCACUUAUAGAUGGAUCCGCGCCGCAUUAGCUAGUUGGUAAGGUAACGGCUUACCAAGGCAACGAUGCGUAGCCGACCUGAGAGGGUGAUCGGCCACACUGGACCUAAGACACGGUCCAGACUCCUACGGGAGGCAGAAGUAGGGAAUCUUCCGCAGUGGGCGAAAGCCUGACGGAGCAACGCCGCGUGAGUGAUGAAGGUCUUCGGAUCGUAAAACUCUGUUAUUAGGGAAGAACAAAUGUGUAAAUAACUAUGCACGUCUUGACGGUACCUAAUCAGAAAGCCACGGCUACCUACGU